ACCUCAGAUCAGGCGAGACAACCCGCUGAAU
rnacentral:rRNA from 1 species